rnacentral:lncRNA from 1 species
UUACUAUGCCCACUUAUUCGUAAGUAAUUUUGGGAUUUUAAUUAAAGAGCUGACUUCACCAGGAAAUUUGUUAGCUUUAUUAUUCUACAGGUAACAGGUUUUAUCUUUUUUUUUUAUUCUAUUGAAAGAAACUCAAAUUUAUGUAGGUACCAUUAAGAAAUUGAACUUUAUCAUGUAUUCUGAUUCGUAUGCUUGCUUCACCUCAUUCCUUUAUCUUGCCCAAUUCAAUGUAGAUCCAUUUUAGAUAAUCAAUUAAUAUCGCCGGUUCUGUUUCUUCUCGAUCUACAUUGUCUUAUUUUCUGGCCAUACUUGUUUCCUAGAUUUAGCCAUAAAAUUUGUUUAGCUUUUUAGUACGUAACUUAGAAUUACCAUUUAAUUUUCUCCACAUUGACUCCAUGAAAGCAAAUCAGUUUUUUCAUCAACCGUUUAUUGCAUUUCUUUCGUGGAAGACUUAUCAUGGGCUGAACAUACGUUCCAGCAGCAAUCAUGCAUAUUAGAUACAACAGAUGCCAAGAAGCAUAUGAGAGCGGAGCUUAAACCCGAAUGAGGCUCCGAUCUGCCGCUUGCACUUUGGUGAUUAGGUUGUUUGGAUAUCAACGCCUCCACUAAAGCAGCGCGAUUUGUGAGAUUCUGUGAUGCUUUCAAUAUUCCACUUAUCACAUUCGUAGAUGUUCCAGGGUUCCUUCCAGGUACCAAUCAAGAAUACAAUGGCAUAAUUAGACACGGGGCAAAACUUCUCUAUGCAUACGCUGAAGCAACUGUACCUAAGCUAACAGUUAUUACGAGAAAGGGUUACGGAGGUGCUUAUGAUGUAAUGGCUUCUAAACAUCUCCGAGGUGAUGUAAACUAUGCAUGGCCGACCGCUGAAAUUGCAGUAAUGGGAGCUAAAGGAGCUGUUUCGAUCUUAUACAAAGGCAAAUCUAACCAACAAAAAUACGAAGAAGAAUAUAUCGAAAAAUUUGGGAAUCCUUUCCCAGCUGCAAUACGUGGUAAGGAGAGUUUAAUAUUA